CUUUGUUCCCCGGCGACCAUUAUGAAAUGGACAGUGCUAUACCUAAUUCUGGUGUCUGAUGUUUACGUCAAAGCAUUCAUCAACACUGGCGAUGUUCAUCCAUCAUAUGACGUAAAAACUCUGGAACACAUUGAGCAAAAAGUAUUGAAUCAUGAUAAAGACAAUGGAGACAGUCAAGG